CCUACGGGAGGCAGCAGUGGGGAAUAUUGCGCAAUGGGCGAAAGCCUGACGCAGCGACGCCGCGUGAGGGAUGAAGGUCUUCGGAUCGUAAACCUCUGUCAGCAGGGAAGAACGGUCACUGUACUAAUCAGCAGUGAAUUGACGGUACCUGCAAAGGAAGCACCGGCUAACUCAGUGCCAGCAGCCGCGGUAAUACGUAGGGUGCGAGCGUUAAUCGGAAUUAUUGGGCGUAAAGCGCUCGUAGGCGGUAUGUCAAGUCAAGGGUGAAAUCCCCGCGCUCAACGUGGGAACUGCCUUUGAAACUGGCAAACUAGAGUGUGUGAGAGGAUAGUGGAAUUCCAGGUGUAGGAGUGAAAUCCGUAGAUAUCUGGAGGAACAUCAGAGGCGAAGGCGACUAACUGGGACAUAACUGACGCUGAGGGGCGAAAGCGUGGGUAGCAAACAGGAUUAGAUACCCUUGUAGUC
rnacentral:rRNA from 1 species